rnacentral:rRNA from 1 species
CAGCAGCCGCGGGAACACGAAGGGUGCAAGCGUUAAUCGGAAUUACUGGGCGUAAAGCGUGCGUAGGCGGUUUGUUAAGUCUGUUGUGAAAUCCCCGGGCUCAACCUGGGAAUGGCAGUGGAUACUGGCAAGCUAGAGUGUGUCAGAGGAUGGUGGAAUUCCCGGUGUAGCGGUGAAAUGCGUAGAGAUCGGGAGGAACAUCAGUGGCGAAGGCGGCCAUCUGGGACAACACUGACGCUGAGGCACGGAAGCGUGGGGAGCAAACAGGAUUAGAUACCCGCGUAGUCCCUGUCUCUUAUAC